CAAAAGGUCUCGUUGGUGACCAGCGGAGGGUCAUUACCGAGUUUACAACUCCCAAACCCAAUGUGAACCAUACCAAACUGUUGCCUCGGCGGGGUCACGCCCCGGGUGCGUCGCAGCCCCGGAACCAGGCGCCCGCCGGAGGGACCAACCAAACUCUUUACUGUAGUCCCCUCGCGGACGUUAUUUCUUACAGCUCUGAGCAAAAAUUCAAAAUGAAUCAAAACUUUCAACAACGGAUCUCUUGGUUCUGGCAUCGAUGAAGAACGCAGCGAAAUGCGAUAAGUAAUGUGAAUUGCAGAAUUCAGUGAAUCAUCGAAUCUUUGAACGCACAUUGCGCCCGCCAGUAUUCUGGCGGGCAUGCCUGUCCGAGCGUCAUUUCAACCCUCGAACCCCUCCGGGGGUCCGGCGUUGGGGAUCGGGAACCCCUCAGACGGGAUCCCGGCCCCGAAAUACAGUGGCGGUCUCGCCGCAGCCUCUCCUGCGCAGUAGUUUGCACAACUCGCACCGGGAGCGCGGCGCGUCCACGUCCGUAAAACACCCAACUUUCUGAAAUGUUGACCUCGGAUCAGGUAGGAAUACCCGCUGAACUUAAGCAUACUAA
rnacentral:rRNA from 1 species